AUUGAACGCUGGCGGCAGGCUUAACACAUGCAAGUCGAGCGGAGUGAUGGUGCUUGCUCUAUCACUUAGCGGCGGACGGGUGAGUAAUGCUUAGGAAUCUGCCAUUUAGUGGGGGACAACAUUCCGAAAGGAAUGCUAAUACCGCAUACGUCCUACGGGCGAAAGCAGGGGAUCUUCGGACCUUGCGCUAAAUGAUGAGCCUAAGUCGGAUUAGCUAGUGGGUGGGGUAAAGGCCUACCAAGGCGACGAUCUGUAGCGGGUCUGAGAGGAUGAUCCGCCACACUGGGACUGAGACACGGCCCAGACUCCUACGGGAGGCAGCAGUGGGGAAUAUUGGACAAUGGGCGGAAGCCUGAUCCAGCCAUGCCGCGUGUGUGAAGAAGGCCUUUUGGUUGUAAAGCACUUUAAGCGAGGAGGAGGCUACUAGUACUAAUACUACUGGAUAGUGGACGUUACUUGCAGAAUAAGCACCGGCUAACUCUGUGCCAGCAGCCGCCGUAACAC
rnacentral:rRNA from 1 species